rnacentral:rRNA from 1 species
UACGGAGGGUGCGAGCGUUAAUCGGAAUUACUGGGCGUAAAGCGUGCGUAGGCGGUUGUCUAAGUCAGAUGUGAAAGCCCCGGGCUCAACCUGGGAACUGCAUUUGAAACUGGGCAGCUAGAGUUUGGUAGAGGAAGGUAGAAUUCCUAGUGUAGCGGUGAAAUGCGUAGAUAUUAGGAGGAAUACCAGUGGCGAAGGCGGCCUUCUGGACCAAAACUGACGCUGAGGUACGAAAGCGUGGGGAGCAAACAGG